UUCCCAGACUCCUACGGGAGGCAGCAGUGGGGAAUAUUGGGCAAUGGGCGCAAGCCUGACCCAGCAACGCCGCGUGAAGGAAGAAGGCUUUCGGGUUGUAAACUUCUUUUCUGAGGGACGAAGAAAGUGACGGUACCUCAGGAAUAAGCCACGGCUAACUACGUGCCAGCAGCCGCGGUAAUACGUAGGUGGCAAGCGUUAUCCGGAUUUAUUGGGUGUAAAGGGCGUGUAGGCGGGAAUGCAAGUCAGAUGUGAAAACUAUGGGCUCAACCCAUAGCCUGCAUUUGAAACUGUAUUUCUUGAGUGCUGGAGAGGCAAUCGGAAUUCCGUGUGUAGCGGUGAAAUGCGUAGAUAUCUGGAGGAACAUCAGUGGCGAAGGCGACUAUCUGGCACAUAACUGACGCUGAGGAGCGAAAGCGUGGGUAGCAAACAGGAUUAGAUACCCCGGUA
rnacentral:rRNA from 1 species